CGAACAUACACUGUACGGCAAUCAGGGAAAUUUGGAGGCCCAGGACAAACUUUGACUUGGAGGCUCUCGUGAUUCCAUGUUCUAACACUAUUUACCGCAUUUUACAACAUUUCGCAACCAAACUUUGUAAUUUUACUAAUUUUAGUAUGCUCUUUCUAGCUGUGGUGAUUUAUGUGCAUCUUUUAAAAUUAGUCUAUAAACAAUGCCAGAGCUCCAUGUCUCUGCGGGCCGAGAAGGUGGUAGUGGAGGUUCCUACAUUGAACUAUAAAUAAACUGGAAGGCUAAAUCAGGGGGGGGGGGGAAUUGAAGCCAGUGCAUUUUAGUUUUUCUGAGUUAUGAACAGAAAUACUCAACACUGAACGUUGGGCUAUAUAUCAAAUUGAAGCUAUUGAAAAACACUAUUUGGUGUAGAAAUUUCAAAACUUUAGCUAAAAGGAAAAUAUUGAAAAACUACAAACAUAAUUACCGAUAAUUUGCCGUUUUGCAGUUGUUUUUGUAUUUUUUAAAUAUUUUUCUUUUCGCUGAAAUCUUGAAAUUUCCACACCGAAUAGCAAUUUUCAAUAGCUUCAAUUUGAUAUAUAGCCCGACGUUUGGGGUCAAGUAUUUCUGCUCAUAACUCAGAAAAACUAUUUUGGCUUCAUCAAGUCAUAGGCCUUCAUCAUAGCAGUUAGCCGUCCAGUUUAUUUAUAGUUCAAUGGGUUCCUAUAGGCCCGUUUGCGCUUACAAUUUUUGCUGCGAUUCCUAGUGCGAUUUUCUGCCUCUGACCUCUGGUGGAUGUGAAUGAGUAAAUAAGUGAUGAAUGUUCUGAAUAUAUGACUCAGUGAUGUACCCUCAUCUGAACAUUCAUAACUCAUCCACUCGUUCACAUCCAUCAGAAGAAGAAAAUUGCACAUAAAAUCUCAAGUGGAAACAGGCCUUAUGAUCGAAGCGCGGGGCAUGCAAACACAAUAUUUUUCCUCCGCCAGUUCGCGAUUGUGGAGUGUGGCUAGAUCUUCUCUACCAAAGGGGGGGGGGGGAUGCUCGCCCUCGGCAAUCCGCUGGUUGUAAAGCCCUUUCUUUUUCUUUCAUUCGCAUUGAAGGAACAUGCUAGGGGUCUGACAUGGAUGCGUUGAGCCGUAUGUGUUAAAAAUCCGACAUCAAAUAAUGCCUAAUACCUACAAAAUUAAUUACAUUAGAAGGCAAUUAAUUACCUCCAAGUUCCUUCAAAACAUCAUUGGUAACCUCCAGUUAAGUUAUAAUUAUAAUACAACGAUACUCAUCAUAUACUUAUACUAUAAUUCCAUACAAAAUGAUCCGAUAUAAUUGAUUGUACAAAUAGAUUAACAGUUGUCUCGCUGCGUCUUUAACCAUGUACUUACCAUGCUUAGUCGUGUUGUAAAUAUAAGGCCCCGG